GGAAGUAAAAGUCGUAACAAGGUCUCCGUUGGUGAACCAGCGGAGGGAUCAUUACCGAGUUUACAACUCCCAAACCCCUGUGAACAUACCUAUACGUUGCCUCGGCGGAUCAGCCCGCGCCCCGUAAAACGGGACGGCCCGCCCGAGGACCCCUAAACUCUGUUUUUAGUGGAACUUCUGAGUAAAACAAACAAAUAAAUCAAAACUUUCAACAACGGAUCUCUUGGUUCUGGCAUCGAUGAAGAACGCAGCAAAAUGCGAUAAGUAAUGUGAAUUGCAGAAUUCAGUGAAUCAUCGAAUCUUUGAACGCACAUUGCGCCCGCCAGUAUUCUGGCGGGCAUGCCUGUUCGAGCGUCAUUUCAACCCUCAAGCUCAGCUUGGUGUUGGGACUCGCGGUAACCCGCGUUCCCCAAAUCGAUUGGCGGUCACGUCGAGCUUCCAUAGCGUAGUAAUCAUACACCUCGUUACUGGUAAUCGUCGCGGCCACGCCGUUAAACCCCAACUUCUGAAUGUUGACCUCGGAUCAGGUAGGAAUACCCGCUGAACUUAAGCAUAUCAAUAAGCGGAGGA
rnacentral:rRNA from 2 species